rnacentral:rRNA from 1 species
CCAACAGGGAUUGCCCUAGUAACGGCGAGUGAAGCGGCAACAGCUCAAAUUUGAAAUCUGGCCUUCUGGUCCGAGUUGUAAUUUGCAGAGGAUGCUUCGGGCGCGGUGCCUUCCAAGUCCCCUGGAACGGGGCGCCGGAGAGGGUGAGAGCCCCGUACGGUUGGCGGCCAAGCCUGUGUGAAGCUCCUUCGACGAGUCGAGUAGUUUGGGAAUGCUGCUCUAAGCGGGAGGUAGACCCCUUCUAAAGCUAAAUAUUGGCCAGAGACCGAUAGCGCACAAGUAGAGUGAUCGAAAGAUGAAAAGCACUUUGAAAAGAGGGUUAAACAGCACGUGAAAUUGUUGAAAGGGAAGCGCUUGUAACCAGACGUGCGCCGGGGUGUUCAGCGGGCGUUCUCGCCCGUGCACUCGCCUCGGCGCAGGCCAGCGUCGGUUCGAGCGGAGGGAUAAAGGCGUCUGGAAUGUGGCUCCUCCGGGAGUGUUAUAGCCAGGCGUGCCAUGCCUCCGCCCGGACCGAGGUACGCGUUCUGCAAGGACGCUGGCGUAAUGGUUCCCAGCGACCCGUCUUGAAACACGGACCAAGGAGUCGAGGUUUUGCGCGAGUGUUUGGGUGUUAAACCCGCACGCGUAAUGAAAGUGAACGUAGGUGAGAGCUUCGGCGCAUCACCGACCGAUCCUGAUGUUUUCGGAUGGAUUUGAGUAAGAGCGUAGGGCCUCGGACCCGAAAGAUGGUGAACUAUGCUUGGAUAGGGUGAAGCCAGAGGAAACUCUGGUGGAGGCUCGCAGCGGUUCUGACGUGCAAAUCGAUCGUCAAAUCUGAGCAUGGGGGGCGAAAGACUAAUCGAACCAU